GACGAACGCUGGCGGCGUGCUUAACACAUGCAAGUCGAACGGAAAGGCCCUGCUUUUGUGGGGUGCUCGAGUGGCGAACGGGUGAGUAACACGUGAGUAACCUGCCCUUGACUUUGGGAUAACUUCAGGAAACUGGGGCUAAUACCGGAUAGGAGCUCCUGCUGCAUGGUGGGGGUUGGAAAGUUUCGGCGGUUGGGGAUGGACUCGCGGCUUAUCAGCUUGUUGGUGGGGUAGUGGCUUACCAAGGCUUUGACGGGUAGCCGGCCUGAGAGGGUGACCGGCCACAUUGGGACUGAGAUACGGCCCAGACUCCUACGGGAGGCAGCAGUGGGGAAUAUUGCACAAUGGGCGGGAGCCUGAUGCAGAAGCGCCGCGUGCGGGAUGACGGCCUUCGGGUUGUAAACCGCUUUCGCCUGUGACGAAGCGUGAGUGACGGUAAUGGGUAAAGAAGCACCGGCUAACUACGUG
rnacentral:rRNA from 1 species